UACGUAGGGUGCGAGCGUUAAUCGGAAUUACUGGGCGUAAAGCGUGCGCAGGCGGUUAUAUAAGACAGUUGUGAAAUCCCCGGGCUCAACCUGGGAACUGCAUCUGUGACUGUAUAGCUAGAGUACGGUAGAGGGGAUGGAAUUCCGCGUGUAGCAGUGAAAUGCGUAGAUAUGCGGAGGAACACCGAUGGCGAAGGCAAUCCCUGGACCUGUACUGACGCUCAUGCACGAAAGCGUGGAAGCAAACAGG
rnacentral:rRNA from 1 species